GCUUGUCUCAAAGAUUAAGCCAUGCAUGUCUAAGUAUAAACAAAUCUAUACUGUGAAACUGCGCAUGGCUCAUUAUAUUAGUUAUAGUUUAUUUGAUGGUUCAUGCUACUUGGAUAACCGUAGUAAUUCUACAGCUAAUACAUGCAUCAAACCCCGACUUCUGGAAGGGGUGUAUUUAUUAGAUGGAAACCAAUGUGGGGCAACCCGGAAUCUGGUGAUUCAUAAUAACUUUCGGAUCGAUCUUCGGAUUGAUGCAUCAUUCAAGUUUCAGCUUUGGAUGGUAGGGUAUUGGCCUAUCAUGGCUUUAACGGGUAACGGAGAAUUAGGGUUUGAUUCCGGAGAGGGAGCCUGAGAAAUGGCUACCACAUCCAAGGAAGGCAGCAGG
rnacentral:rRNA from 1 species